rnacentral:rRNA from 1 species
UACGGGGGGGGCAAGCGUUGUUCGGAAUUACUGGGCGUAAAGGGCUCGUAGGUGGCCAACUAAGUCAGACGUGAAAUCCCUCGGCUUAACCGGGGAACUGCGUCUGAUACUGGAUGGCUUGAGUUCGGGAGAGGGAUGCGGAAUUCCAGGUGUAGCGGUGAAAUGGCGUAGAUAUCUGGAGGAACACCGGUGGCGAAGGCGGCGAUCCUGGACCGACACUGACGCUGAGGAGCGAAGCCAGGGGAGCAAAACGGG